GAUUCCAGCAUCACAUAUUUGAAGCCAACACGAUUUGCCAACCAAAGCGCCUCCUUGACAGCUAGUAAUUACAAAACUCGAAAGCGUGUACAUGACCUUCAACUCAGUAUCUCGAACAUGGACCCCGAUCAAAGUCUGGUUAAACCUCGAAUGGCAGGAGGCAUCACACGGAACUCGAACCCAGCCCACAUCAAUAUAAAUCGGGGAAGGAGGAGACUCUGACCGCGCCGACGCGCACUGAUUUGGAGGAAGGCGUUGUAAUUGGGACCGAAAAGCCAUAAGAAAAUCGAUCGGAAGAGUGUCGGAAAGGGAGUGCCAAAUAUCCACGAAAUUUCCCCUCAGGGUCUUCGUCUUCCACCAAGAAGGUUUGGAAGCUAAAGAAUAAGUAUAAAGGAAGUGCAAAAAUCCAGAGAAGAGUAUGUAGGAUAAUUUCAAGGCAGAGCAAAUAAAUGCUGGAGCGAGGCAAAGUUGGAGCAUGGAUUCACUGUGCAAUAACAGCCCAGACACAGGAUUUAUCGUGUCCGUAGAAUUUUAAGCUAGAUGCCCUAAAUUUGGAACCCGAUAUAAAAGGGGAAUGUUGCCCUAGCCGCCAGAGAGAUAUCCCAAGGGAAGCACGUUUUUUUAGAGUUGAAACAACAAGGGGAAGGAUUCUCUCCAUUUUUGGGGGUAUAAAGCUGACGAUAGGGGGGAUAUUCUACUGUAAUUUCGAGUUGUCAUCCUCUUCUUUUUCAGUUUUUCUGCUAUUUCCCUAAGAUGGAUUGUCUUCUUCUUUUACCCAUUUUAUUUUCUUCUUCAUUUAUGAGCUAAACCACAUUUCGGGGGAGAUUUCCAUGUUGUAACUGCUGUAAACUGAACCUCUAAUUGCUAUAUUCGUUUUUAAAUGAAGCUGAAUUAAUUUCUGA